UUGAGCCACCUAUACAAUCAAGGGUAGAAGCAUACCAGCACAGACCUACUAUCAAGCCAAGUUCCAAAAUCGUUCAAGCCAUAUCAAUGCAUCUAUCUAGCUAGCAAAUAACAUCAUUUGUGUGUACCAAUAAGCAACAACACUACAUCACAUAGUAGUUCAGAAACCACAAAACAAAACCAUUUUUUGCUAACCCACACUAAAACAGGUCCACAAAUAAUCCAAACCAAAUCAGUAGGUAUCAUACCUGAAGAAACCCCCACAUCAGUACAAUUGUGUCCUGAAUAAGAGAUAAAAUGCAACCUGCAAUGAAGCUUACAAGCCUAACCUAUGCAGUCCUUGGGUUAACCUCUACAAUGCAAAGUAGAUGGUGUGUGUAGUACCAAUUCAGCAACCAUGUCAGCAUGUGUC
rnacentral:lncRNA from 1 species